CCACAGCCUCCCGGCGGCCUCCCGUCCCUGGGCUCGCUCAAGAGCAGCACGUCGCGGCCCCCAGAAAACCCUUUAAAGUUUGACCGUUGAGGGAAAUGAGGAACGUGCGAGGAGGGAGGACCCGAGGCCACCUGGAGAGACCCCGCCAGGAGGGCAGCUCGACCAGGCCUCGCAUGGGGUUUGCUGGAGACGCAGCGGGCGCGCCGUGGGAUUCAGGACCGCGGUGUGGCGGUGAAACUGGCCGGCGCGUGUGUGCUGCUCUCCGGCCAGUCCAGCCGCCGGCGCGGGCCUGCGGUGGCAGCGAGUCGGCGUUUUGCUGUGGGAGCGCAGCCGAGGGGACAGGGCCAAGGGAAUGGUGAUGGCCCACCUGGAACUGGAGCUGGGAGGAAGAGGAAUGAAGGCCGUGGAGAGGGCACCGACCGCCGAGCUGGAGAUCGCGGGGGGUGUGGGAGUUGUCCCUGGAGCGAAAGGGUGGUGGAGUGGGAUGCUUGAAACUGAGGAUUUUGGAGGUGGUCGAUUUUAAAAUACGCCUGGGACAGAUGGGACCGUAGGCACCGGUGGGAAAGAGGCUUGCUGUUGAAAAGGAAAAUGGGGCUGGCUGGUUGGCUCAGCUGGUUAGAGCAAGGCUUCAUAACAACAGUGUCACGGGUUUGGAUCCCUGUACCAGCCAGCCACCAGAAAACAAAGACAAGAAAGUCAGAAGCCAGGUGUGUCAGGGGGACCACCCUUAUUGAUAUCCAAGUAUCUUACCAUCACCCUUGAUGAUUUCGUAGAGAAAAGAGUCUGUGAACCAGUUGCCUUUGUAAAAGAAAGGAGAAGGGGAUCUGAACACAGAAGCACACAGAACACCAUGCGACCGUGGAGGCAGAGAUUGGAGAGAUGCAUCUACCACCCAAGGAUUGCUGAGGAUCACCAGCAGCUACCAGGAGCUGGAGAGAGGCACAGAAAAGACUCUGGGAGCCUCCAGAAGGAACCAGCCUUGCCGACACCUUCAUUUCAGACUCCAGAACAGUGACAGGACAAA